CUGCAGAUGGCACAGUGAGGCCACAAAUCCCCAUAGAGAGAUGAGAAGGAUAUGGAGCAGACUGUGUUCUCUGUU